UUGGAGGGCAAGUCUGGUGCCAGCAGCCGCGGUAAUUCCAGCUCCAAUAGCGUAUAUUAAAGUUGUUGCAGUUAAAAAGCUCGUAGUUGAAUUUCGGGAUCGGUGGGUUGGUCGUGCCUCUGGUACGUACUGGUUCAACCGGUUCCUCCCUUCUGACGAACCACGAUGUCAUUAAUUUGGUGUUGUGGGGAAUCAGGACUGUUACUUUGAAAAAAUUAGAGUGUUUAAAGCGGGCUAAAGCUUGAAUAGAUUAGCAUGGAAUAAUGAAAUAGGACGUUUGAUCUUAUUUUGUUGGUUUCUAAGAUCGACGUAAUGAUUAAUAGGGAUAGUUGGGGGCAUUAGUAUUCAAUUGUCAGAGGUGAAAUUCUUGGAUUUAUUGAAGACUGACUACUGCGAAAGCAUUUGCCAAGGAUGUUUUCAUUAAUCAAGAACGAAAGUUAGGGGAUCGAAGACGAUCAGAUACCGUCGUAGUCUUAACCAUAAACUAUGCCGACUAGGGAUCGGAUGAUGUUAAUUUUUUAAUGACUCAUUCGGCGCCUUACGGGAAAC
rnacentral:rRNA from 1 species